ACUCCUACGGGAGGCAGCAGUGGGGAAUAUUGCACAAUGGGCGCAAGCCUGAUGCAGCCAUGCCGCGUGUGUGAAGAAGGCCUUCGGGUUGUAAAGCACUUUCAGUCGUGAGGAAGGUAGUGUAGUUAAUAGCUGCAUUAUUUGUACGUUAGCGACAGAAGAAGCACCGGCUAACUCCGUGCCAGCAGCCGCGGUAAUACGGAGGGUGCGAGCGUUAAUCGGAAUUACUGGGCGUAAAGCGCAUGCAGGUGGUUUGUUAAGUCAGAUGUGAAAGCCCGGGGCUCAACCUCGGAAUAGCAUUUGAAACUGGCAGACUAGAGUACUGUAGAGGGGGUAGAAUUUCAGGUGUAGCGGUGAAAUGCGUAGAGAUCGUGAAGGAAUACCGGUGGCGAAAGGCGGCCCCUGGACAGAUACUGACACUCAGAUGCGAAAGCGUGGGAGCAAACAGGAUUAGAUACCCCUGGUAGACUGUCA
rnacentral:rRNA from 1 species